UCAAGAACAGGCUGAGGCUAUCUAUAGUGAUACAGAAGUGAAAUGUUUUUGAGAGCAUCCUGCUUGUGAACAGAUUCCUAUUUCCGUGAGGAGGUGACCUCGAAGAAGAGCAGCUUCUAUUCUGCUGGGAGGUGUACUGCCUUCUGGUAUCAGGCUUCUGCAUCCCGGGAAAGCUCGGGAUAACCUGAGGCACCCCCUUGAAAAACAAAAGAGCUUGAUCAGAGCAGGAGGGUCCUGUUGCACAAGCCCAGCAUCUACUAUCAGUUUCACCUAAAUCAGCUGAUACUGUCCCCAAGAUGGAACUGUACUGUCACAGGUCACACUCCAACUUGAGAAGCACUCCUUUCCCCUCUAACUACGAACAGAACUGGAGAGCUACUUUCUGGCUGGGUGACUUGGGGAAAUUUGUAAACCUCUUGAGAUGCAUCAGUAAGAUGGGCAUAAUGACAGGAAAUCAGCAGCUCCAAGAGGGCAGAAACUGUGCUCCUGUUUGCUAGCCCUGACCUCAUACCUGGUAUUCAGUAUGCAGGAAGAAGGUUUAGUAAGGCCUAAAAUUCCCCAAGGAAAGAAAGCAUGCCUCAAGACUGUGAAUGCCCUCCAGACAUUUACAACUCAUACUGAUGAUUUAGCUCCCUUUCAGUAGGGUCUUUCCUAUAUUAUUUAUUAUUUAUGUGCUGGGGCAGAGACAUGAAGAAAAUGGAGCUGUUUAGAACAGGAGUUUGCAAACUGCAAUGGCCAGUGAACCAAAUCCAGCUCACCGCUCACUGCCUGUUUUUCUAAAUAAAGUUGUAUUGGAAC
rnacentral:lncRNA from 10 species